GAGGUAUUAGUAUAUGAGUACAUAACUUUGUCAAAGUUAAAGUAUAAGCUAGCCCUUAUAUACCUCC
rnacentral:tRNA from 1 species